rnacentral:rRNA from 1 species
AUUGAACGCUGGCGGCAGGCCUAACACAUGCAAGUAGAGCGAGCGGCGGACGGGUGAGUAAUGUCGGGGAAACUGCCUGAUGGAGGGGGAUAACUACUGGAAACGGUAGCUAAUACCGCAUACCAUCAGAUGUGCCCAGAUGGGAUUAGCUAGUAGUUGGGGUAACGGCUCACCUAGACGACGAUCCAUAUCUGGUCUGAGAGGAUGACCAGCCACACUGGAACCGAGACACGGUCCAGACUCCGACGUGCGGCAGCAGUGGGGAAUAUUGCACAAUGGGCGCAAGCCUGAUGCAGCCAUGCCGCGUGUGUGAAGAAGUCCUUCGGGGUGUAAAGCACUUUCAGCUGGGAGGCGUUACCCGCAGAAGAAGCACCGGCUAACUCCGUGCCAGCCGCCGCGGUAAUUC